GACGAACGCUGGCGGCGUGCCUAAUACAUGCAAGUUGAGCGAUGAAGAUUGGUGCUUGCACCAAUUUGAAGAGCAGCGAACGGGUGAGUAACGCGUGGGGAAUCUGCCUUUGAGCGGGGGACAACAUUUGGAAACGAAUGCUAAUACCGCAUAACAACUUUAAACAUAAGUUUUAAGUUUGAAAGAUGCAAUUGCAUCACUCAAAGAUGAUCCCGCGUUGUAUUAGCUAGUUGGUGAGGUAAAGGCUCACCAAGGCGAUGAUACAUAGCCGACCUGAGAGGGUGAUCGACCACAGUGGGACUGAGACACGGCCCAAACUCCUACGGGAGGCAGCAGUAGGGAAUCUUCGGCAACGGACGAAAGUCUGACCGAGCAACGCCGCGUGAGUGAAGAAGGUUUUCGGAUCGUAAAACUCUGUUGGUAGAGAAGAACGUUGGUGAGAGUGGAAAGCUCAUCAAGUGACGGUAACUACCCAGAAAGGGACGGCUAACUACGUG
rnacentral:rRNA from 1 species